rnacentral:lncRNA from 1 species
GGUUUUUCUCUUCCAAGGGAGGCGGGGGUGUGGUUGCAAAAUAAAUCUUAGGGUUUUUUCUUCUCCCCAAAGAAAUCAUUGUGUUGUAACGCAGAGAGAGCCCAAGCUGAUGACAUUUUUAUGGGGCUGCCUCUAGUGAGAACUGUAAUGUCUGCUAGGGCCAUCCAGAGGGUCGGGUAGAUCUCUCUCUCUCUCUCCAUUGCCAUCCCCCACGCCUUUCUCUCACAGCAAUACAACUUCAGCUCAAUACUUGUCUAGAAUUCUCAGUGGGGCUACCUAGGCUAAAAGGGGGUGGGGGUGGGGGAGGUGACAUCAUAUCCUCAAGAGCUGAUUGGUUGCUGUCAGGCUUCAGGAAUGAUAUCAUCUCUGCUUCUGCCUCCCCACCCCCCUUUACUUCCAGUCCUUUCCUGGUUGGGCAAGCCCCCCUCCGUGGCACCCCACCCCAGGAUACCCCGUUGCCUUGGAGACCACAAGUUUUCAACCUCGUUGUCUGAAGGAAUGGAUGGUGCAGUCUCUGUGGGAAGUUGGUCCACCUCUGUUCCUGUCUUCUGGACUCACUAUGUGGAUUCAGAGUCAAGAGAAAGUCCCACAGAAGAUCAAACUACAUCAGGGGGAUCAAACCCAAGAGCCAGAAGAGGACUUCGGGAGAAGCCCUGGAUCACUGGUUUUUCUUUCCACGGGGAGUUAUCUGAAUGCCAGCUGAUGUUACCUAGAUGGGCUCCCGCAGUGAGCGGUAUCUACACAAGACAAAACGGAGAUCUGGAGAGACUGUCUAACUUGCCAAUGUUUUAACAACAGAACCCGAAUAUUCUGAAUCAAGCCCAUGCUCCUCGGGCUCUUCAAGGACUUUUCAUGGUAGGACUUCACGAUGCGCUAAAAUAGUGGCUCUCACAGUUCUUGUCCCCAGACCAGCAACCUCAACAACACCUGGGAACUUGCUAGAAAGGCAAAUUCGUGGGUCCCACCCCAAAACUCCCAGAAACUCUAGGGUGGGGCCCAGCAAUCUGUGUUUUAACAAGCCCUCCAGGGGAUUCUGAUGCAUGGUAACAUUUGCAAAUCAGUGCUCUAGACUCUAGAGUCUAGAACAACAAUUCCGAGGCAUGGGUGACUGCAUGACAAUCAUCUGCCUGGCUGCCACCCUAAACCGACUAAAUGGGAAUUCCCCAAGAGUGGAGCCCAAGCAUGAGAUUAUGGUUUCAUUCUUUUAAGCUCCACAGGGGUUCAAAUGAUGCAUGCUCAUGGCUGAUAGCCAGUGAACGAGACUAACACCCUUUGCAUUAGGCACAUGUUGAGGUUGUUCCCAUGAACAAAACACUACAGAGAAGGCAGUGGUAGGGAGAAAGGUGUCGGCCUCACAGAUCCUGCCCAAGAACGUAACCAGCUCCUGCACAUGGACCACAUUUCCCCCCAGUACCUGAUUGCAGCCAGUGAUGCUGCCUCUGCGCAUGCAAAGGCUGUGAUUCAGGGACCUGUGUGGGAGGGCAUCAUGCCACGGUUUCAUGAGCAACUGAAAUGGCUCUUGUGAUGUCUCAAUUUGGGGAAAGAAGCCUGUUUGAAUCUGUAGCCAUGGCAGGAAAAGACUGAUGUAGAGAGAGACAAGAGGUCACCAAGUCAGAAGCUCAGCCCAGUUUCCACUGAUAUUCAGCCUUGCAUGGCGUGUCUUCCGAUUCUCCUCAUUGGUUGGGCCGGUGGUUCUCCAACUGUGGUGUGUAGCAGGCUCUCCUGGAGAGCUCAGGGGCCCAGGCUCACGGAAGUGAGAGAAGGCCUGGGCCUCUGCAUUUUUACCAAGAUCCCCAGGGAUUCUGACACCGAGCAAAAUUGAAGACCCAUUGCUGUAGGCCAGGGGCUGGCAUGCUUUUUCUGUGACGAGCCAGAUAAUACAUAUUUUAAGCUUUGUAGACCAUGUGGUCUCUGUUGCAACUACUCAACAAUGCCAUUGUAGCAAGAAAGCUGCCAUGACUAUCAGUGAAUGAACGUAGCUAUGUUUCAAUAAAACUUUAUUUAAAAAAAAAAUCA